GACGAACGCUGGCGGCGUGCUUAACACAUGCAAGUCGAACGGAAAGGCCCUGCUUUUGUGGGGUGCUCGAGUGGCGAACGGGUGAGUAACACGUGAGUAACCUGCCCUUGACUUUGGGAUAACUUCAGGAAACUGGGGCUAAUACCGGAUAGGAGCUCCUGCUGCAUGGUGGGGGUUGGAACGUUUCGGCGGUUGGGGAUGGACUCGCGGCUUAUCAGCUUGUUGGUGGGGUAGUGGCUUACCAAGGCUUUGACGGGUAGCCGGCCUGAGAGGGUGACCGGCGACAUUGGGACUGAGGUACGGCCCAGACUCCUACGGGAGGCAGCAGUGGGGAAUAUUGCACAAUGGGCGGAAGCCUGAUGCAGCAACGCCGCGUGCGGGAUGACGGCCUUCGGGUUGUAAACCGCUUUCGCCUGUGACGCAGCGUGAGUGACGGUAAUGGGAAAAGAAGCACCGGCUAACUACGUG
rnacentral:rRNA from 1 species